rnacentral:sRNA from 1 species
GAAACCUGCCUUUCAGGCAUCCUCUCCUAAAACUUUCACGGGCUGGUCUUCGGAUCGGCCCUUUUUUUGUGCGUCA